UCCUAUGAGUCCAAGGGCUUGACUCUAGAGUGCUCAUGAAACAAGAUAUAGACAUAAGGCCAAUCCAUGUGUCGGUUUGUUUGAUUACUUGAGGUAACCCGUACUUUGCGUGAGACAUGUCCGGUUAGUCGUAUAAGAUUGCUAGUUCAAAGACAAGUCUACUAUGUCAUCUUGACUAACUUUGAGAUGUCUUUACUAAGUGAAUGAUUCAAAUCGUAAGAUAUCUUCACCUAUGCAUAAGGCUGCCAAGUGAACCAAGAAUCAUCAUCUGAUAUUUUGAAAUGGUGGGAUGUUGGGGAAUUUUCAAAAUGGGUUUUCAAAUUUAUAGUUUUUUUUUUUGGGUGUUUUCAAAACCUUUCAUGUUUUUCUUUGUAAAGCAUGAAAUAAGCUUGGAGCUUUGUCCCACAUCGGAAAGAGAGGAAAACAUGGAGCAUUUAAUAAAGUGAUACAUGGAAUAUUCCUUUGAAUAUGGUAUUAUGGAAUGAAUGCUAGUGUACAUGCACUCACACUGCAAGGAUGGUGCUUCGCAUCAUCCACACACGCACACGUACAUGCACAUGCGUGUGGCGUGGGCAGUGGGCUGUGUGGCAUUUGAUGGCGCACUUUGCAAUUAGCAUGGACGUAUCGGCGCAAGGCGCCAUGAGGGCACUUUUCUAUUUGCAUCGGACAGGUAUACAGUCAGCUCCACGUGGCAGUGACGUGGCGUCCGUUGGUUGUGAGUCAACCAACCGAUAGAACGGUUGUAUGUUUGAUCUGGAGCGAUUUGAUCAUAGCCAUUGAUUGGAGAUACGCGUGAUAGUACGGAUGAGAUGGCACCCAAUUGUGAUCAAGUGUGAUUAGUCAAGGCAUCUAUUCGGUGUGAGAAUGAUCUGCACCGUAGAUCGUCGAUCCAAUAGUCAGAUUUGAUCGGAUGCGAUCAAGGGAUAUGACCAUUCGAUCAAGUGCAUCAAGGCCUAUAAAUAGGCUGCGAAAUCAGCCAUUUGAUGCCAUCCGCAAAAUUCAGAAACAUUCUUGCAAUUCUCUCUCCCUCUCUCUCUCUCCCUCCCUUUUGAUUUUGAGUUUUCAAUCAAGAGUUUCUUUAAGCAAUUUCUAUUUUUUUUUUACUAGUAAUCAAGUUCUGCAGAUUUGAUUAUCAGUGUCUGGGUUUUCUUGAUUAUAUCAAAAGUAUUCAGAUCUAUUGUCGUCAGUGCAGACGCUGAUAGACUUGAUCUUUAGAUCAGGCUUCAUUGUAUCCUGGAGGCAAAUUUGCUGUAACCCCUUGCACAUCUUUUUGUGGGUGCAAAUAUUGUCUUUAGGAAAGCGACUAAGUAACGCGACUUGAAGCAUCAUAUUUCUGUACUACAUAGACAAGUUCAUCACCGAGUUUUGAAGACCUGAAGACCACCGCUUGAAGAAUUCAAGACAAUUUGUUCCAAUAAUUAAGAUGUGCGAAAAAGGAAUUUGAUUGUUCGUGUGAAAAAGCAUUUGAUCACAGAAGUGGCUUGGGGUGAAGUGAUUGCUUGAGUUCUCUUGAAAUAUUUCUCAAAAAGAACCAGGGUUUGAUGACCCUAACCGACAACCCAUUAAUUUUUAUUUUAUUUUAUUUACGUUAAAAUAAUAUAAAAAGGAGAAAAAGGAGCAUUUCUGCAGUUAAAGUUACUUAAAGUUUUUGAUGAGUAUUUGGUUUCACUUUGUUUGUAGUUAUAUUGGCUAAGAAUUUUUAGUAACUUGCCUUAGUUGUAUUCCAGAACGAUCAUGAUCCAUCCAUAUUGGUUCAUGAUUUUUGUAUGUAGUCACUUCAUGUAUGGGUGCGCACACAUACACACUGCAGCAAACCAAAAGAAGUGUAGCCUUCUUGUUGUGGUUGAUGGCUUCAUUCAACUUAUGGAAGCAAAUAAAACUAGGCCAAUCAACUUUGGCAAUCUAGGUAAAAACUAGACUAUGAUCCAACAACUCUCUACUUACCUAUGUAACUAUGUUCAAUUUCUUGCCCUCUUAGUUAUUGUAAAUAUGUAUAGGACUGCGUUAUAAUAUUUUUACUAAUCAAACCCAUAAAUGUCAUGGUUUGCACAUAGCAUUACCAUAAGUUUAUACCUAGCUACAACUGAGAGAAAUUUGUGAUGGGCUAUAUCCAAAAUAGGGAUUGUUUGAAGGUGCAAAAGCAUGUAGGAGAGCAGAUGGGCGCAUUUGCCUCUUCUACUCGAACUAGAAUGCAUUCCAUAUGCAGGUUGGUACUGAGAGAAUGUGCAUACCUUCUCCCUCCAUUGAUCAAUUCAUUGAUGCUAUCAAACAAAUUGCCAUUGCUAAUUGGCGUUGGGUAAUCAUCAUUUUUCUAUUCUUUACCCAAAAACACAUAUAUACAAGUGUACCUAUAUGAACAUGUAUUGAUGGUAUGUGACUUUUGUUGUAUUGAAUUUGAGUAGAUUACCCCUUCAAGAAAAAGGUCUCUUUAUAUUAGGCCUUUGCUCAUAGGAAGUGGACCUAUACUCGGUUUGGCACCUGCAGCAGAAUACACAUUCCUUGUAUAUUCUUCCUCGGUUGGAAACUAUUUCAAGGAAGGUUUGUCACCCUUGAACUUUUAUAGGUGUCAAAUCCAUAACCAAUUAUGUCCCGUUAUAUACAUUAUUUUUCCAUUUGAAUGUAAAACAGUUGAUUAAUUUCUUUGACAUCUGAAAAUAUUUGAUCAAAAUUUUUUGAAUCAUAGAUGGCUCUAACUUCGCUAAUUCAACACCCAUGUAUUGUUGAAUUUAAGGAAGUAUGUGUAGAGAAAGUCAGAUACCUCAAUUCUUUCUACAAUUGUCCAAUACUUGAUUCUUGAUUUAGACCAUGAGCUUGUUUGUUUGUUUGUUUUUCCUGAAUUAGCAGUCAUAAAUCAUAUUGUUGGGUUUCUAUGUCUGCAUUGUUGAGUUUCCAGAAUAUCUAAAUCGUGAUAAAGUAUUUUCCCCAAUUUUUCCCCUUCUAAAUUAGUCUACACAAUGUGUAAAAUUUCACAUUGUUGAUGUUGUAACCUGCGAACAUGGUUGAAUUGAUGAAAACAAAUCAAACGGGCAGUAUUUUUGGGAGUGUCGUACAAUCCUUCACUGUGGAAGCAAUUAAUUUUUGUGUAUGCCUAUUUUGAAUGUGUAUCCCAAUUUUUUUUGCAAGGGUAAUUCAGAAAAUAAUGAGAGAUUAUGCUCCAGCAGUUUGUGGUGUAUAACAUUGCCCUUGCUUAGUUAUAGAGUUCAGUCACCUGUAAUAUAAUGUGAGUUGUGAACAAUUGUGGUUUUUACACUGAAAUUCUUUCACGAUUUUUAUGUGUAAAAUUUGUUUCCAAUCUUCAUCUAGCAUUCAUGUCAAUUUAAUGUUGUUUGAUAAAUGGUGUACAUUGAUCAAGCUUUUAUUGUUGCGAAGAAUUUAUGUAUUGUCCAUAAAACACCGUGUACUUUAUCAAGACCUUCCUUUUCUUUUUAUUUUCUAGGGAAAAGU